UUCAUGCGACGGGUUGGGGACGCAUUACAACACGACCUGGCUCUUUGUGAAUUCAUCUGGUGUGCCUAGUGACAUCAUGGCAGCUGCAGAAUCAGUGUCAGACCUGAGGAUUGUUCUGCUGGGGGGCUCAUGGACUCAGAGGAAUUUUGUGGGGAACGUUAUACUUGG